rnacentral:misc_RNA from 1 species
AAUUAUCAACCUAAUGGGUUGGACUUGGGAUUUGCUGGCUUUGAGUAGUCAGCUAUCCUUAAAUGCAUUAGUGAGUCAAGUCUUGACAUGCACGGCCUGUCUUCGGUGAUAAAUGAUCCGUUGGUCCGGGCUGGAAGUGUCAUUAGGAAGCUUGCUUAUAACAAUUAGUAUUUUGACA